rnacentral:misc_RNA from 1 species
GAUGAAGAACGCAGCGAAAUGCGAUACGUAAUGUGAAUUGCAGAAUUCAGUGAAUCAUCGAAUCUUUGAACGCACAUUGCGCCCCUUGGUAUCCCGAGGGGCAUGCCUGUUCGAGCGUCAUUAUAACCCCUCAAGCUCAGCUUGGUGUUGGGGCCUGCUGCACUGGCAGCCCUUAAAAUCAGUGGCGGCGCCAUCUGGCUCUAAGCGUAGUAAUUCUUCUCGCUAUGGAGUCCUGGUGGAUGCUUGCCAUCAACCCCCAAUUUUUCUAUGGUUGACCUCGGAUCAGGUAGGGAUACCCGCUGAACUUAAGCAUAUCAAUAAGCGGAGGA